AAUCAGUGGUUAAAAGACCAGGAGAAUCCCACAAACUCACAUGUACAGCAUCUGGAAUCUCAUUCAGCAGCUACUGGAUGGCCUGGAUCAGACAAGCUCCUGGAAAAGGACUGGAAGAACAACAAACACACUGGAUCAUGAUGGAGCACAGAUCAGCGCUGCUCAUUUUAAUCGUCAGUUUUAUGGGUGUUGAUGGUCAGACUCUGACAGAGUCUGAAUCAGUGGUUAAAAGACCAGGAGAAUCCCACAAAUUAACCUGUACAGCCUCUGGAUUCACAUUCAGCAACCACUGGAUCGCCUGGAUCAGACGGGAUCCUGGAAAAGGACCGGAGUGGGUUGCUUCUGUCACUACUGGUAGUGGCACAUACUACUCUCAGUCAGUUCAAGGCAGGUUUACCAUCUCUAGAGACAACAGCAAGCAGCAGGUCUAUCUGCAGAUGAACAGUCUGAACACAGAGGAUUCUGCUGUUUAUUACUGUGCUCAAGUCUCACUGUGAUUGAAGUCGGUUCAGCAGCUGUACAAAAACCUCGAGUGCCUUUUAUCUUAUAAGACACUAACCGUGUUUUAGUGACUGCACUGAUACAGAGGAACAGAACAAUUAGAACUAUUUUGUUUUCU